GGGUGGUAAUGCCGGAUGCUCCAGUUGACCGCAUGGUCCUCUGGGAAAGAUUCAUCGGUAUGGGAUGGGGUCGCGUCCUAUCAGCUUGAUGGCGGGGUAACGGCCCACCAUGGCUUCGACGGGUAGCCGGCCUGAGAGGGCGACCGGCCACAUUGGGACUGAGAUACGGCCCAGACUCCUACGGGAGGCAGCAGUGGGGAAUAUUGCACAAUGGGCGCAAGCCUGAUGCAGCGACGCCGCGUGCGGGAUGACGGCCUUCGGGUUGUAAACCGCUUUUGACUGGGAGCAAGCCCUUCGGGGUGAGUGUACCUUUCGAAUAAGCACCGGCUAACUACGUGCCAGCAGCCGCGGUAAUACGUAGGGUGCAAGCGUUAUCCGGAAUUAUUGGGCGUAAAGGGCUCGUAGGCGGUUCGUCGCGUCCGGUGUGAAAGUCCAUCGCUUAACGGUGGAUCCGCGCCGGGUACGGGCGGGCUUGAGUGCGGUAGGGGAGACUGGAAUUCCCGGUGUAACGGUGGAAUGUGUAGAU
rnacentral:rRNA from 1 species